rnacentral:rRNA from 1 species
UGACGCUCUCCCCAAGGACACAAGCCAUGCAUGCCCGCACACCCGGGAGGCGGCGGACGGCUCAGGACAACGGUUGCACCCCCCGCGGCGGUCCCUGCUAGCCGGACACCGCUGGCAACCCGGCGCCAAGA